AAUUACCUUAUUUAUCCCUAAAAUCUCUCAACAACAUCGUGAUUUUCUAUAUCUUAUUCCAUUCUCCAUCACCACCGAAAUUCAUCAUCUCUCUCACAAAAUUGAAUCUCCACACCAUCACUGCCAGUGAAGAAUUCCUUUGCCCAUGUGUAAAUUUUAGGAGGAUUCCUAUUGCGUCGUCAAAUAAUUUAUUUAGGAGCAAGCAAAAUAAGAAUAAAGUGAUUUUUUAAGGUAUGAUUCUGUAAGCAUCUAAACCGUUUUUCAACAGAAAUCUCACCUGGAUUUUCGAUUUUGUUAUUUUGAUCCUUCUACAUGGUUUUAAAACUGCAUUAUAUCAUGUUUUUGAAUCUGAUUUUUGAGAAAACUAAAAUCUGAUUUCAGCAUAAGUUAUCAUGCAGUUUUGAGCAGUAUUGCAUCAAUUUCAGCAUAAUGCUUGAUUAGUAUGUGAUUUAAAGGUUUAUAAUUGAGUUUUAAUUUGCUUGGAGUGUCGGUAAAAUGGUUAGUAAAAUGUUAUUAUCUAGUUCAACAGGGAAUACUUUAAAAAUGAACUAUGCUACAAUUUGUUUAAGAAAGUAUGGGUACGAGUUAUUCAAAAAUGAAUUUGAUUAUUGGUAAUUCUAUGCAAUCAAUAUCAUUGACCGACUCUUUCAAAUUUGUUUUUGUAGAUGGAUGCAACCAGUUGUGGUCAUUAUGUACAUAUGUCUCAAUCUAAUGAAAUUGGUCAUCAUCAGUACAAGGCAAAGCACCUUACGUUGGGAUGAAAUUUAAGACAACAGAGGAAGCAAAGGCAUACUACGAAGAUUGAGGAAGCAAAGGCAUGCUACGAAGAUUAUGGACGGCAAAAUGGUUUUUGGAUUCAUACUCGAACAACAGUUUAAGUCACGCCCACAUAUAAAUGAAGUUACCCUUAUUAAAUUUGUGUGCUCACAUGAAGGAAAUUAUCAUAGGAAGAUUGUUGGCGGAUCAAGUAAAAUAGAGAAUUGUCAGAUAGUGGGUUCUACAAAAAGAAAAAAUUGCUCAAUGAUUAGAGGUGGAUGUAAGGCUAACAUGUGAAUCUCAAAUGACAUUGAAUGUGGC
rnacentral:lncRNA from 1 species